AGUCGAACGAACUCUGGUAUUGAUUGGUGCUUGCAUCAUGAUUUACAUUUGAGUGAGUGGCGAACUGGUGAGUAACACGUGGGAAACCUGCCCAGAAGCGGGGGAUAACACCUGGAAACAGAUGCUAAUACCGCAUAACAACUUGGACCGCAUGGUCCGAGUUUGAAAGAUGGCUUCGGCUAUCACUUUUGGAUGGUCCCGCGGCGUAUUAGCUAGAUGGUGGGGUAACGGCUCACCAUGGCAAUGAUACGUAGCCGACCUGAGAGGGUAAUCGGCCACAUUGGGACUGAGACACGGCCCAAACUCCUACGGGAGGCAGCAGUAGGGAAUCUUCCACAAUGGACGAAAGUCUGAUGGAGCAACGCCGCGUGAGUGAAGAAGGGUUUCGGCUCGUAAAACUCUGUUGUUAAAGAAGAACAUAUCUGAGAGUAACUGUUCAGGUAUUGACGGUAUUUAACCAGAAAGCCACGGCUAACUACGUGCCAGCAGCCGCGGUAAUACGUAGGUGGCAAGCGUUGUCCGGAUUUAUUGGGCGUAAAGCGAGCGCAGGCGGUUUUUUAAGUCUGAUGUGAAAGCCUUCGGCUCAACCGAAGAAGUGCAUCGGAAACUGGGAAACUUGAGUGCAGAAGAGGACAGUGGAACUCCAUGUGUAGCGGUGAAAUGCGUAGAUAUAUGGAAGAACACCAGUGGCGAAGGCGGCUGUCUGGUCUGUAACUGACGCUGAGGCUCGAAAGUAUGGGUAGCAAACAGGAUUAGAUACCCUGGUAGUCCAUACCGUAAACGAUGAAUGCUAAGUGUUGGAGGGUUUCCGCCCUUCAGUGCUGCAGCUAACGCAUUAAGCAUUCCGCCUGGGGAGUACGGCCGCAAGGCUGAAACUCAAAGGAAUUGACGGGGGCCCGCACAAGCGGUGGAGCAUGUGGUUUAAUUCGAAGCUACGCGAAGAACCUUACCAGGUCUUGACAUACUAUGCAAAUCUAAGAGAUUAGACGUUCCCUUCGGGGACAUGGAUACAGGUGGUGCAUGGUUGUCGUCAGCUCGUGUCGUGAGAUGUUGGGUUAAGUCCCGCAACGAGCGCAACCCUUAUUAUCAGUUGCCAGCAUUAAGUUGGGCACUCUGGUGAGACUGCCGGUGACAAACCGGAGGAAGGUGGGGAUGACGUCAAAUCAUCAUGCCCCUUAUGACCUGGGCUACACACGUGCUACAAUGGAUGGUACAACGAGUUGCGAACUCGCGAGAGUAAGCUAAUCUCUUAAAGCCAUUCUCAGUUCGGAUUGUAGGCUGCAACUCGCCUACAUGAAGUCGGAAUCGCUAGUAAUCGCGGAUCAGCAUGCCGCGGUGAAUACGUUCCCGGGCCUUGUACACACCGCCCGUCACACCAUGAGAGUUUGUAACACCCAAAGUCGGUGGGGUAACCUUUUAGGAACCAGCCGCCUAANGUGGGACAGAUGAUUAGGGUG
rnacentral:rRNA from 2 species